rnacentral:rRNA from 1 species
AACGAACGCUGGCGGCAUGCCUAACACAUGCAAGUCGAACGGGACCUUCGGGUCUAGUGGGGCAGCGGUGGGUAAAGCGGGGGGAUCUACCCUCGGGUUCGCCAUAACUCAGAGGAAUGUGAGCUAAUACCGGAUGAUGUCGUACGUCCAAAGAGUUAUCGCCUGAGGGUGAGCCUGCUUAGGAUUCGGUAGUUGGUGAGGUAAAGGCUCACCAAGCCGACGAUCCUUAGCUGGUCUGAGAGGAUGAGCAGCCACACUGGUGCUGAGACACGGCCGAGACUCCUACGGAAGGGAGCAGUGGGGAAUAUAGGACAAUGGGGUAUGGCAUGAUCGCGCAAUGCCUGGUGAGUGAUGAAGGCCGGAGGGUAGUAAAGUUCUUUUACACGAGAUGUUAAUGACGGUACCGGGAGAAUAAGCUCCGGCUAACUACGUG